rnacentral:lncRNA from 1 species
UAGACAUUCUCUGACUAGCUCUUACUCUGUCAACUCCUGAGGAUUCCACAUUUUUAACUUGGCUGUAACUGUUUUAAACAGGAGGUGGAGAAGGGAAGAACUAAAAUUUGUUGUCUUGUGGUCCAGGUGCUUUGGAAUAACAGCUAUGUUCCAAGAUUGCAUCAUUGAUGGCCACAGUAAUGCCCCCAAAUGCUUCAACCGUGAGGAAAUGUCGUUCAGAUUUGGUCAACACCUCAUCAAGCCCUCUGUGGUUUUUCUCAAAACAGAACUGUCCUUUGCUCUUGUGAACAGGAAACCUGUGGUACCAGGACGUAUCCUUUUUUUUAAAGAGGAAAAAUAAAAAGCCUCUGAACUUAACAGACCACAGGAAUCCAGCAGGGGGGUCCAAUGUCCAUCCUCAAGGGUAAAUAAGGAAUCCACCUUUCUCCCCCUUUGGAGAAACCAGGUAAGAUGUUGCAUUUAUUCUGAAUCCAGUUGGUGGCACCAGUAAUAUGCUUGAUCAAUGUUGCAGAACUUCUGAAAAGAGUUGCUUAGCAACCGUGGCUUUGGAGGUGAAUUUUUACUUGACCUUUUCACUAUCAUAGCUGUGUAAAUAAAUAGGUGCUUCUAAAGUGGGCCCA